CUAUAAGUCUGGUUGGCACAACUAGCAUGCCCCUCUCUAUUGUACCCU
rnacentral:rRNA from 1 species